UACAGAGGUGCCGAGCGUUAGGCGGAAUCACUGGGCUUAAAGCGUGUGUAGGUGGAUGCCUAAGUACCUUGUGAAAUCCCACGGCUUAACCGUGGAACUGCUUGGUAUACUGGGUGUCUUGAGCCAGCUAGGGGCUACCGGAACAAAUGGUGGAGCGGUGAAAUGCGUAGAUAUCAUUUGGAACGCCAAUGGUGAAAACAGGUAGCUGGGGCUGUGCUGACACUGAGACACGAAAGCCAGGGGAGCGAACGGG
rnacentral:rRNA from 1 species